AAGGCAACUAGGGACCUGAGGACCUCUUUGCGUAAACCCUAAUCGCGCCGCCAGGCCCUCUCCAGCUCCACUCUCACGUCCGCCACUGUUCCGCCGACGGUGCUGUUUUCCGCUCCUGCACCCUCGCUCCCAUGGCGUAUUGUCUACCUUUGAGGUGAUAUCACCGACGCCACCUCUUCCGUCGUCAUUAGCAAGCUUAUUUUCCUUGAGUUUUAAGACAUCACCUGCAAGCCCAUCCAUCUCCAUAUUAACUCCCGUCGGUGCCGCCGCCUCACGAUAUACGACAUCAUGCAGUACAUCCCCCGGUCUCCAUCCUCUGCAUCUGCGAGGCCUAAUCCAUGCAAGCACAGCAUCGCACCGCAUCCUAUGUAAUGAUCCAUCAACCACGCAUAACAUCUGUCUCCGGCUCGGCCGAAGACCUGGACAUUAGUGCCAAACUGCUUCGCAAACUCCAUGAGCGCAUCAAUAGGAUCUACAGCCACCACUGCCGGCGAGGAACAGAAAUGAAGGUUCUAGCAUAUGGCUAGGCACUUUUCCUCUUGUUCUCGCUGGUUUACUUGGGGGAUGGUUUUGUUCUUAAUGACCGUGGAUCGUGGUGCGCCAUACUUGCUGGAAGUCUCAGACUAAGAGAUCUAGAGAUCUCGCUGAUGCACAGGGUGGAGACCGAGGAUCAGAUGUAUUGCAUUAUGUUGUAUAUUGCGAGGGUGACAUCGAUGGAACAGCUGGGGAGCUAAUAUGGAAAUGGAUUGGUUUGCACGUGGUGUCUUAAAACUUAAAAAAAAAUAAACUUGUCAAUGACACCAGAGGUGGCGGCUUCUGUGAUAUUACCACAAAGAUAGACAAUACACUUCUUUAGGAGAUGGUCGUUCACCAUGGGGACGAGGUUGCAAAAGCAGAAAGCAGCACCAUUAGUGAAUUGGGAUAGUGGCCGAUGGGAGAGUGGACUUGAAGAGGGUCAGGCGGUUUUGAGAUAUCUCCUUCGGGAUAUUGAUUAGGUUUUAUGCGCAGAGGCCCUACUUGCCCUUUUAUUUGGAACAAUGUUAUGGAAUCUAGGGCUUUUAUGUCAUAAGUUUUUUACA